GCCAUUGCCAUCCAACCUCCGCAGCCGUUCACAGCCUCUGCGAUAAUGACUCAGGAGACUCUGACCUGUGACUUUAGACUCUUUUUAGCCAGCGUCUGUUACUUCUCUGGGGCAUCGAUAGCUGCCCUUCCUGACUUCCUUCCCGUCCACAGCUGCCCCACCAGGGCUCCUGUUACUCUCAGGAAAGAAUUAAACAUUCAGGACGUAAUGGAGCUUCAGUGGACGACUAUUUAUAGAAAUGAGACUUCAUAGAAAGAAGGGUGUGAUGUUAUGGCAAAGCAGCAGUAGGUAUUAAGAUACCCCACCUGGGCUUUCUCACACGCAGCUCAGGGUAAUUGUCAGCUUUUUAAACAAGGAACUAUUGGAAUCAGGAGUUUUG